AACACUGGGUUACUUCAAAAUUCUCAGAGGAAUCACCUUUUUUAUUCUUAUGCCAUACUCUUUUAAUCUUUCUAUUCCACAUAAAACCCUCCUUUACAAAGUGAAAUUUCAAAACUUCUUUUUCCUCAUCUCCUUUAUUUAGAAUCAAGUAUUGAAGUGAUGGUUAGAACAGAAGGCAAAGAAAUAACACCCACCCUCCAAACUGUUGGCUGUUCCUUUUGUCUUUUUAUGUCAGGUGAAAACUUCACGGAAGAAUGCUGAUUCUCGAAACUUGCUAUUUUGUUGUCUGACUACAGAACCACAGGAUACGCUGAGUUGGAAGGGACCCAUAAGGAUUAUGGAGUCCAGCCCUCAGCCCUGCACAGGCCCAUCCCCAAGAGUCACACCCUGUGCCCCAGAGAUCAUCCCAACGCUCCUGGAGCUCUGGCAGCCUUGGGGCUGUGCCCACUGCCCUGGGGAGCCUGGGCAGUGCCCGACCACCCUCUGCGGGAAGAACCUUUUCCUGAGAUCCAACCUAAACCUGCCCUGACACAACUUCAGGCCAUUCCCUGGGGUCCUGUCCCUGGUCCCCACAGAGAUCAGUGCCUGCCCCUGCUCUUCCCCUCCCGAGGGAGUUGUCACUGCAGUGAGGUCUCCCCUCAGUCUCCUCCUCUCAGCUGAACAGAACAAGUGCCCUCAGCCGCCCCUCGCUCGGUUUCCCCUCAGGGCCCUUCGCCAUCUUGGCGCGCAGGAGGAGCCACACAGCUGAGGAACAGCUCAUGUUAUUUGUGGGGGCACUCCGUGGGACACAGCAACAGCUGGCUGCCACUGCAGAUCAAAAUCUCCUAACUACAGUUCUCUGGAAUGUGGGGGCACAGCAGGAGCUGGAGAAACGGAAACCUGAGUGGCAGCAUCAUGGAUUUUGUUCAGAUUUAUGGGAGACUGCCUCAAGUAAACAACUGCCACUGCAAGCAGCAAAAGUCACACUCUACUCACUUUAUUUUGAAUUAGAACCAUCUAUUACCCCUCUACAGUGAGUUUAAUAACUCCCAUAAUUUUCUGCUAUAGAUUCACAUAAAGGGCAUGUUAGUUUUUAAAAGAGAAAUACAUUUUCUCCUACCUGGGCCUGACAAAUCUAUAAGCCAAACCUUCCAUUAACUAA